AAUUUAUUGUAUAAUUCGUUCGAAAGGUUAACAAGGUAAAAACACUAUGAACAAAUUUUGGAAAAAUUUAUAAUCCCUAAAAUUACUCAUUCUCUCUCCUUCGUCUCUCUCUCUCUCUAUCUCCCGUUCCCUUCCUCCUCUCCAUCGUCUCUCUCUCUUCUUCUCCCUCUGUAAAACCUUAUAUCCCCAAUUCUGCCACCCCGGCCCCUUCCCCCUCUCCGGCGAAUGUUGGCUCGCAGGACCAACCUCGUCGUUAAUGACGCAUGUUCAAGGGCAGGUUCGUUAUUCUUAUUCUGACGAACGUCGACGAACCCUGGAUCAUUAUCUGCAAUCGCCGCUCACUCAAGUCUGCAAUCGACAAUCGAAUUAGGCGUUCAAUUGAUAAAUUCGACGAACAUAGGAAUUGUCGUUGGUUGAACUCCCUAGAUCCCCUGCUUUGUUUGAUAAGGAUGACAUUGUGGACAGGAAUGAGUACAAGUUCACUAUUAUAAACUUGAUUCUGUAAUUGAUAAGGAGCUUUCGUUGGUUGAAUUCCAUGGUUCUCCUGAUUUGGUUGAGAAGUUAACUGUUGAAAUGAUACACAAGUUGACGUUUUAUACAUUUCACAUGUAUCUCUAAGCAGUACCGCGCGGAGUCCAUGAAAGGCAUGGUAGUAGGUGUAGAUAAACUUUACCUCGGGUUUGUCGGCGACUAGCGGUGCCGGAGCAGUUGAUUUGAGCAGGGAAUAGUACCAAUAUUGGUGGGUGGAAAAUUCUUUAGGAAUGUAGGACUUGUGCAUGUGCAUGAUGUAUGUGGAUCUUUUGGAUGAAACAUCAUUUCACACAUACUAUGUCAUGUUGAACAUAGAAAUAUAGCCUGUUGAACAUUAUCAAAUGUAUUUUUGAACAUGUGUAAAUAGCUCGUUGAACAUAUGAAAUGCGUAUAUGAACAUGGAUACAUAGCCCAUUGAACACCAUCAAAGCUACAUGUAAUUCAGUUACCCAACAUAGGUUUAUAGUGUGAAUAUUUAUCUAUGAAUUGUAUAGAAUAUUUAUAAAGCAACAAUGUUUUUUUAUUAAA